rnacentral:rRNA from 1 species
AGUGAACGCUGGCGGUAGGCCUAUCACAUGCAAGUCGAACGGCAGCACAGUAAGAGCUUGCUCUUACGGGUGGCGAGUGGCGGACGGGUGAGGAAUACAUCGGAAUCUACUUUUUCGUGGGGGAUAACGUAGGGAAACUUACGCUAAUACCGCAUACGACCUACGGGUGAAAGCAGGGGAUCUUCGGACCUUGCGCGAUUGAAUGAGCCGAUGUCGGAUUAGCUAGUUGGCGGGGUAAAGGCCCACCAAGGCGACGAUCCGUAGCUGGUCUGAGAGGAUGAUCAGCCACACUGGAACUGAGACACGGUCCAGACUCCUACGGGAGGCAGCAGUGGGGAAUAUUGGACAAUGGGCGCAAGCCUGAUCCAGCCAUACCGCGUGGGUGAAGAAGGCCUUCGGGUUGUAAAGCCCUUUUGUUGGGAAAGAAAAGCAGCAGGUUAAUACCCCGCUGUUCUGACGGUACCCAAAGAAUAAACACCGGCUAACUUCGU